UUGGAUUUUCCAUCCUUUGAUGGGGAUAAUCCACAGUUUUGGAAAAGUAAGUGUGAAAAGUACUUUGAUGUCUAUGGAGUGCAACCAGAUCUGUGGGUGCGUGUAGCAACACUGCAUUUCACAGGGAAUGCAGCUCGCUGGCUGCAGUUGCGGGAAUCACAGAGCGCGACCUUCACUUGGGAGGCUCUGUGCGCUGCGCUGUGUAGCAAAUUUGGUAGGGAACAAUAUUAGACACAUCUGCGCCAGUUUCAUAGCCUUAGGAAAACGAGUACGGUCCAUGAGUACAUGGGUCAAUUUGAGGAGCUGAUGCACAAUAUGUUAGCGCAUAACUCUGGUUUCGAU
rnacentral:rRNA from 1 species